rnacentral:rRNA from 1 species
UACAGAGGUCCCAAGCGUUGUUCGGAUUCACUGGGCGUAAAGGGUGCGCAGGUGGGUUUGCAAGUUCGAUGUGAAAGCCCCCGGGCUUAACCCGGGAAUGGCAUUGGAUACUGCAGAUCUGGAGGAUCGGAGGGGGGGACUGGAAUUCUUGGUGUAGCAGUGAAAAUGCGUAGAUAUCAAGUGGAACACCAGUGGCGAAGGCGAGUCCCUGGACACUUCCUGACACUGAGGCACGAAAGCUAGGGGAGCAAACAGG